rnacentral:rRNA from 1 species
UUCGCAAUGCCCGAAAGGGUGACGAAGCGACGCCGCGUGUGGGAAGAAGGCCUUCGGGUUGUAAACCACUGUUGGGAGUUAGGAAGUGUGGGGGUGUUAAUAGCGCCUUCACUUGACUAAAGCUCCAGAGGAAGCCACGGCUAACUCUGUGCCAGCAGCCGCGGUAAUACAGAGGCGGCAAGCGUUGUUCGGAAUUAUUGGGCGUAAAGAGCACGUAGGCGGCCUUGAAAGUCAGUUGUGAAAGCCUUCUGCUUAACGGAAGAACAGCAUCUGAUACUACAGGGCUUGAGUGCGGGAGGGGAGAGUGGAACUUCUGGUGGAGCGGUGAAAUGCGUAGAUAUCAGAAGGAACGCCGGCGGCGAAAGCGGCUCUCUGGCCCGUAACUGACGCUGAGUGUGUGAAAGCUAGGGGAUCAAACGGGAUUAGAUACCCCGGUAGUCCUAGCCGUAAACGAUGGGCACUAAGUAGAGGGGUUUU